rnacentral:rRNA from 1 species
AUGUUUGUUAGGCAUAAAGAGAAAGAUAAUUUUCAUGUGAGGCUGCAAGUUGAUGUGCUUGAGCAGGCAUUUGGACCUAGGAUGACGGGUGCAAUAUCUCAGGGAGAACUAAGUCGUCGUAAUGGCAUCUCUAGCCAGAACAGUUCAGUUGGUGCACGACGACGUGGUGGCUCGGCAAGUGUGGGCAACAGCAGUAGGGUCCCCAUUGAAGUGGAGCCUGAUGACUACAAUUCUGGGGUUGAUGAAGAGAAUCUAUAUUCUGAUGUUAUUCAGAAUUUACGACGGGCACCUCGGACUGAAAACCAAGAUGAGAUUCACAAUGCAGUCUGUGUGGAUGAUGACGCGGUGGGUGAGGACGAAGACCUUGCAGCUGUUGAAUGGGACCCUUUGAACCCUCAUAUGGAAGAAGGUACAGUUUUUGCAUCCAUGAAUGAGUGUAGAAAUGCACUUGUGACAUACUGCAUCAAGGUAGAACGUACUUUCAAAGUUGACAAGAGCGAUCAAGUACGUUACAGAGUGCACUGUCCGACUGAGGGUUGUCCAUGGAGGCUGCUCGCAUCUAAAAUGCAAAAUAGCACUAAUGUUCAGGUCAAAGUGAACCCUUUUAAGCACACAUGCCAGGAAUCAACCCUUAGAAAGGAUACAAUCAGUAGAGCCAAGUCAAGAUGGGUGGCAGAAGAAGUAAAGAAGUGGAUGAAAGAAAACCAGCAAGUGGGUCCAAAGGAAUUGCAGAAGAACAUUAAAGAUAAGUUCAAGAUAGAUUUACCAUACAUGAGGUUGUUUAAUGGUAAACAUGCUAUGGAUUCUAUUUAUGGUAACUGGCAAGAAAGUUUUCAAUUGUUGUAUUCAUUCAAAGGUGAAGUGGAGAGGACAAGCUCAGGUAGUAUUGUAGAUAUUGAUCACCACACCAUGGAGUACACAUUCAGGGGAGUGACAAAGACCAAGGAAUGCUUUAGGAGGGUUUUUGUCUGCUUUGAGGCUUGUCGCCGGGGUUUUUUGGCAGGCUGCAGGCCUUAUUUGGCUAUUGAUGCCACUUUUCUCACAUGGAGGUUUAAAGGACAGUUAGUAGCAGCUUGUGCAGUUGAUGCACACGGUUUUGUAUUUCUAGUUGCCUACGGUGUGCUGGAGACAGAGUCUGAGGAAAGUUGGACUUGGUUUUUGCAUAAUCUGCGCCGGGCUAUUGCACAUCCCAAUGGGUUGGUCAUUCAUACAGAUGCCUGCAAAGGUUUAGAAGUGGUCGUGGACAAUGUGUUCCCUGGAGUAGAGCAUAGGGAAUGCAUGCGUUACCUUGCUGCAAAUUUCAUGAAGAAAUUCAAAGGAAAGGUGUAUACCGACAAUUUAUGGCCAGUAUCUUUGACUUGCAGUGUGAAGAAGCACAACUACCACUUGAGGUAG